GUGUGUGUGUUUGUGCACCGCAUGACGCGGCGUAUAACAUUCGCUUGACGUUGUUUAGAUGCGACGAUUCACAGGAACGACGAUAAUAAAAAGGGCACGGCGUGCCCCCUUUUCUUUCAUUAGUGAUCCUUCCGCAGGUUCACCUACGGAAA
rnacentral:misc_RNA from 1 species